GGAGCUGGGGGGCACAUGAGGGCCAGCGCCCGCAUGCAUCUGCUGCAGCCUGCAGGAGCCCCCGGGGGGGGUGCCAGGCCACAGCCUGGGCAGGAGGAGUGGGGGGCACGGUUGCUCUCCACUAGCGGCGCCACCAUCUUUGCAGGGCUGCUGCCCCCCUGUGCUGCACUGGCUCCUCCAUGGCUGGGGCUCGCCGUCCCCACAAGCUGAUGCUCUGGCUCUCCGGUGCCUCCGGAAAGUGGCUCCACCCUACCGAGCUGCUGCAGAGGCCCAAGCCCGGCAAAGCCAGUGAGUGGACUUGGGACGGGGGCUGAUGGGGUGAGAUGGGAUGGGAAGGGCUCGUGGGGGGGCUGUGCACCCUCCAGGGGAGUUCAGGGGGCAGGAAGGGGGAAUCUGGUCAGGGAAGCAGCCCCUGGGCAGGCUGGCCCCUGGGGUCUAUAAAGGCUCAUUGGGAUUUGCCCCUUAAUGAACUGAUGUGCAGGGGGAGGGGGAGAGCAAGGUAGAAGUUUCGCCUAGGGCACAAAAUAUCCUUGCACUGGCCCUGGUCAACAGGACAACUCACAUGCUUAAACUUAAGCACAUGCUUAAGUGAUUUGAUGAAUCUGGCUGCAAUGCUCAGGAUCAAGCCCUUACCUUGCAAUCUCUUGGGGGCAGGGACUGUAUCUUUCAUAAAUGUCCAUGGCCUGAUCUACAGUACAAAGUGAGGUUGAUGUAAGGUGCCUUGCACCAACCUAGUUGUGCAUAUGUCCACACUUAAAUUUGUCUCCUACCAGUAUAAAAUCUCCAUUACGCCAACGUAGUAACACCUUCUGCCCAAGCGUUGUCGAGUCACAGUCGGUGUACUGAGGUUGACACAGUGCAAAUGUAGACACUGCAUUGCCUAUGAUAACCCUAACAGUCCUCCAGCAGCUGUCCCACAAAGCCCCACACUGACUGUUCUGGUCUCGGCUGUGAACUCCAUUGCCUGAGACUCACAGAGACUGGAAGCCGCAUCCUUUAUUUAAAACCCUGUGAAUUUCUGAUAUGCUGUUUUCAGAUUGUCCAUUGUGGCAAGCACUCGUAGCAGCUUUCCAUUGUUGUGUGCAACUGCCCAGCUGACCAUGUUGGCUACAUGCUCCAGGUGUGUUCUAUCCUGGAGUAGACAGGAGUUUUUGGAACUCCUGGGCCUGUAGGGAAAAGAAGUUGACAGGCACAUCUAUGGACCAGCCAUAGAAAUAUGGCCAUCUAUGAACAGAUUGCCCAGGGGAUUCAGGAGAAGGGUUAUGACAAGGACCAGCAGCAGUGCUGUGUGAAGGCAAAGGAACUCCUGCAGGCAUAUCAGAAGGCCAGAGUGUCCAAUAGUCAAUCUGAUGCUGAGCUGCAGCCCUGCUGCUUUUACAAAGAGCUGUGCGCCAGGCUUGGUGGAGACCCCCCCACCAACACCCCACACAGACCUCCGUGGAUACCUCUGAAGAGCCUGCAUCACUGUCCCUUGGUGUGAACAGCAAGGAUGAUGAGGAGGAGGUGAAGGAGGAAUAGGAGAAGGAUGAGGGACAUGGGACUGGGAGGUCUAGCUAUGACGCUAGUUUGGACCUGUUUGAGACUCCAGCACAGUCCAUCAAUCCCAGCAGUCGAGCACCACAAAACCGAUUGAGGGGAAGGAUCCUCAGUUGCUGCUGUUGUGGCCUUGAGGAGUUCCCCUUCCACACCCACAGAAUGCCUGAGCCAGAUAAAGAUGGAAAAGAAGCUCAGAAUGACAUGUUCAGUGAGAUCCUGCAAGGCAGUGCUGCAUCAGACCAUGAACAGAGGGCCUGAAGCAUGAAUACUGCAGGCUGUAUAGAGAAAGAAAGAGCAGCAACAGGAGAAAGGACCAAGAAUCCCAGCAGAAAAAGGAGGGGAAAGGACAUAAUGGAGCUCCUCUGGAAGCAAACAUACAGAUUCAACAAUCCUGGGCUCAUCUCCCUUUGCAGUCCAUGGAGAAUUCCAUUACAGCACCUUCCUACACACACAUACAUCAACUGUGGUUCUCACAGAGAAGUGAGUAUGGAGAAGGUUGCAUGCUGGGAACCUGACUCCUUACUCCCAGUAACCUCUGUGUGACUCAUUUCUGCAACACCCUGCAUUGCUGUAACUUCCCAAAAGACAGAGUGCUGGACGGUGGCAAGUUGCACACUAGAAUACCUAGCAAUGAUGCACUACACUGUACAUUGAAAAGAGCACUCCUGGUGAGUAUGCGCAAUGCCGAAGUAUGCAAGUGCACAAGUGAUAUACUAACUGCAGUGGCUUCAUGCUGAUCAAACUUCCAUCAGCAAAAGUUUGUAGUGUAGAUGUGCCGAAAGGUAGCAAUAGGCAUACAUUCUAGUGCAGUCUGGGCAUCACUGUUUUUAUCAUCUCACCUUGCCUAGAGCAGUUCCAGAGGAUACAACAGUAGAAAUACUGGUGGCUGGCCUGCAGAAGUGUAUCUAUAUGUAGUAGUGGUGCAAGACCUGGGAUGGGAGAACUCCCUAUCAUUUUCACAGAGGAGACCUCUACAGUCUCCACUUAAAAAGAAUGGAGAGAGCAUUUACCGCUACAAUUAGUUAAUGUUCAUUACAACUCCCCCCAUUUUCAUAUAUACUGAAGAGUAGCAAUUGUCCAGCCCCUUUGCCAAUUAACGUAUAUCUAUAAAAGUGCCACUGGAGGGCUGCAACAAAAUAACCCAAGGAGCAGGUUAAAACAGCAUCUCUUUUCAGGUUGCUUAGGUACAGCCCUUAACAGACAAUCUUGUUUAACAGGUGAAUAGAAAUUCCCGUCAGACAAGGUUGAGAUGAUUUCCCAGAUAAGACCAAGUUACCUUAAAAUAAUUGAGCUGCUCCCUCCACAGCUGGAAUCCUUAAAGACAGUGGUUUCUGUAGUGCGAACAGAAUGUAAAAGAAACAGUGCCAUAGAUCCUGUCUACACUGGGCCUGGAACCACAGCAGAAAGCAAGAGUUCAAGCUCUAGUUUUCAAACCCAUGGUUCCAAGUCCUAAAGAGUAAUCAAAAGCUAAUAUGUAACUUGAAUUGAAGCAGAGAGUUACAUCAGUCGUGUCUGAAGGGACUGGGAAUCUCCAUUCAGGUGUUAAAUGAGACUCCCUGAUAAUUAUUGCUCUACCCCAGGAAGUGACCUGAAAAAAGAUACUGUUUAACUUGUUUUUCAGUUUUCUUAGUUCUAUCUCUGACAUUUUCACAGGAGUGUGCUGAUUGGCUAUAGGGCUAGACUUUUGCUAUACUUUAAUUGAUUUGAAAAGAGUUUUAAUACACUUUAGCUAACUGAAGCAGUGAGUUAUUUUUAAGGCCUUAUUGAAUGGAACCAUUGGUGGCUAGAGAACAUUUACACAUUAAAAAAAAGGUUUUAACAUAGUUGCUACCUAGCCAAACUGUCAGCAAAAUCUACUAUUUAUCAGUACUGUAAUCAUCACAACAGCUUUCUCCUGUGGACAAGGCCUAUGCAUAUGCUGAGACAACAGGUAGAGAGGACAACAAAACAAAACAAAACGGAAGGGUGGACAGUGAAGAGAUUGUGAGUUUGGUCUAAUAAUGAUUACCACUGAGAGCACACCAAACACCUAGCUAUCUCACUUUAUUCAGUUUAUCCCACCUUUACUUUCUUUCUCUUUUUGAAGCCAGCGGGGCUAGUUAUGUACUUAAACUUUUAACACAGUACUCAGGUGCUUUGCUCAACUGGGGCCAGAUAGUGCCUAAUUUUGACUUUGGAUGUGUCUGUGUGACUCUUUAUAGAAGUUAAUGGGAACUGUAUUUACACAGUGGAUCAAUGGUAGAAUUUGGCCCAGAGUUUGCAAAACAGCUUUUCUGGAGGAAUUUUGUUUUAGAAUCAUAGAUUAUCAGAGUUGAAGGGACCUUAGGAGGUCCUGUAGUCUAACUUGCUGCUUAAAGCAGGUUUAGUCCCCAGACAGAUUUUUGCCCCAGAUCACUAAAUGACCCCAUCAAGGAUUGAACUCACAACCCUCAGUUUAGCAAGUCAAUGCUCAAAUGACAGAGCUAUCCCUCCCCCAUCAUUAUUUUGCCUCAUUAUGUUAUGGCAUUAUUCCACAGGAAUUAUUAUAUACCCAACCACAUAAUAUGCUGAAUCCUAUUUUCUAGAACAUUGGUUUUACCAGCAAACAGUAUGUAUGUCAGAGGAUGUCUGUUACACUUCAUUUCUAUAUUAAAAAUAAUUGAUUUUUGCUUGGCUUUAGUACAAAGUACAUAAACCUUGAAUAGAACUAUAUCAAAAGGGAAAGCCCUCUCUGCAGAAUAUAUCUGUGUGUGUUUACAUGUACUUUGAGUUCCAUCCUUACCUGAGUCAUCACUAUUCCAGAAGGUUCUUGGAUCAGGUUUAGCCAGCAGGUCUCCUUUACUACACGACUCCAUCUAUUAAACAGAAGGAACAAAACAAACGGUAAGAACUUCGUUCAUUAUUGUCAGUGUUUAAGACUGCUGUUUCCUUUCCAUUCAAAAGAACUCACUCACUUGGCAAUGUCAGGCUCAUUUCCAGCUGUUUAUAAAAUCAUGGGCAAAUUUGAUGAGUUGGGUACAACGAUUCUUCAAAUUGAAGGAAAUGCUUCCCACUGCCUGGACUUACAUUUUCCACUUAAAAUGUGCAUGUUGGGUUUUACAUCUUUCAGCCAGAUUCUUAGCCCAGCUCUGCUCCUUUGGCCCUGCUCAGACAGCAUAGCAUGAAGGGAGCAGAAGCUGCCUGCAGCUUCCUAGCUGGGGAUGUAAGGUGCUGUAACUGGUUUGCUGGUGCCUCCGAACCCAGCUGCUGUGAUGAGCAGUCCACCCCCUGUAUUUUGACUAUACUUGUACACUAUAGGCUUGAUUCUGCUCUCACUUAAACUGGUGUAAGACAGGAGUAGCUCCCUUAAAGCAAAAGAGUUACAGUGGUGUAAAAAAGGCCUAGUAGAGGAAAAGUAGUCCCCAUGUAAAUUUUCCUUCUGCAUCCAUCUCUUAACAGGCAUGUGCCAUAUCAAAGAAUGCAUCCUCGAUUUGCUACUGCUAAAUGAGUCUUUCUUCAGUAGCUAGGUCACCAGAAAGGCAUUUUCCUUUGGAUCCCCUACUAUACAUACUGAGCCACUGAAAUGCAUCACCUGACUCUGGGGUGGGAAGCAGUGGUCAGCCAGUGAACAUGCUGCACAAGCGAGGGAGGAGAGUAAAAAUUUCCAGUGGUUGCAGAACAAACCCUUAUGAUGGAAGGUGUCAUGGGAUCUUUAAUGUCCACAUUGAGCAGACAGUACCUUGUUUUUUAAGGCCUGAUCUUAAAGAGGCUCACACAGUAAAUUGCUCAAUUUAUCUACGUUGGAAGGAUUAAAGGCUUAAUGAGUUUGAAUCUGAGGUUCCAGUGAGUCUAGUAGCUCUUUCAAAUCUGGCAUUCUUCAACCAGUAAGCUAUUCUUCUCCAGUUUAAGAAAUGUUUUUCAUCAAAUGAUUCCCAGUACAAACUUUUCUUUGAAACGUUACCUGCCACUAUAUUUACACUAUAUUACAAGUACUACGGAAGGCUUUAAAGUUGAUUGUUGGAAGAUUUCCAAGGUUCUAUAACUAAAGCCCAAUACCACACUGAAAGAUAGGGUUCUGCUUAUUUGAUGGGCUAUUUCUGAAUAUUUUUAUUCAGGCGUUCAAGCACCUGAUUAAUUAUAUAAAAAAAAAUUGCAUUCAGGGCAGCUAAAGCUCUAGUUACUGCAUAAUCCUGUGAUAAAAGUUAAUACCCAGGGUGAAUAUAGAAAAGAAGAAACAUAGGUGGGGGGGAGGGAGCAGAGAGAGAUCAUUUUAUUUUGCAUAUUCUGGGCUGAAUUACGAUCAUGUAAGAAAACAUGCACGAUGAGACUGCUCACAAAAACAUGCAAAAAACAAAGCUCACAGUACACAAGAACCUCUGCCUCUGAAAAGCAUGUCUCUAAGCAUGUGCACAACAAGGACUGGAAGUUCACAUCAACAGAUGGAAAGAGAUGUACUGAUGUGCAUAAUGCUUAUAGAGGAGCAAAGACAUGCUGAUAUACCAGCUGCAAAACCCUUGCACUCUUCCAUCCAACAACUGUUUCCUUUCCAUCUAUUAUCAUGGUUCCCAUUCUGUGGAGUUGGAGGCAUCACAGUGACAAACUCUUUAAAGUCAAGUCAGUAGUUCAGGGAAGUUUCAUGGAACAUAAACUGCAGGAAUACCAAAUUCACGGUCCAUUUUGGUAAAUUUCACAGUCAUAGGAUUUUAAAAAUAAUAAAUUUCAUGAUUUCAGUUCUUUAAGUCUGAAAUUUCACAGUUUUAUAAUUGUAGGGGUCCUGACGCAAAAAGGAGUUGUGGGGGGGGGGUCACAAGGUUAUUGUAGGGGGUGUUGUGGUACUGCUGCCAUUAUUUCUGUGCUGCUGCUGGCGGUAGCACUGCCUUCAGAGCUGGGCAGCUGGAGAGCAGUGGCUGCUGGCCUGCAACCCAGCUCUGAAGGCAGAGCUGCUGCCAGCAGCACAGAAGUAAGGAUGCCAUGGUAUGGUAUUGCCACCUCUCCUUCUGUGCUGCUGUAUGUAGAGCUGGGUCCUCAGUCAACAACCACCACUCUCUGGCCGCCCAGCUCUGAAGACAGCAGUGCAGAAGUAAGGGUGGCAUGGUAUGGUAUUGCCACCCUUACUUCUGUAUUGCCUUCAGAGCUGGAUGGCUGGAGAUUGGCAGCUGUUGGCCGGGUGCCCAGGACUCAAGGCAGCACAAAAGUAAGGAAGGCAAUACUGCAACCCCCCUAAAAUAACUUUGUGACCCCCUUGCAACUCCCUUUUGGGACAGGACCCUCCAGUUUGAGAAACACUGGCCUCCCCUGUGAAAUCUGUGUAGUAUAGAGUAAAAGCGCACAAAAGACCAUAUUUCAUGGUGGGAGACCAGAUUUCACAGUCCAUGACAUGUUUUUCAUGGCCGUGAAUUUGGCAGGUCCUUAGGAAUAAGAUAUAAAAUCAUUCAGAACUCCUUGGUUCCUAGAUUCUAUGAUGUUAUAGUGAUAGGUACAUGUAGCUACGUGCAGAAGUGAGAGAUAGGCAGCUCACAUGCAGAAUGUAAUUCCCAGGAGGAAGCAAACAUGCUUAGACAUGAGAGGCAUGGCUUGGGCACAUAGUGAGCUGUGUAGGGUACACACCCCUGUGUAAGGUACAUAUCCUAACAUCUACCAUGUCUGCAUUCUACUUGCUGAAGUAGUGCCUCACUGCCUGCCUACGUUCCCAUUUAUACCCAUGCCAGUUGGGUGUGCAGUGUCUGUACUUUACAUGCCACCACAAGUGGAGACCUGCCUGUAAUGUACCUGAAAGUGGCCUCUGGCAUUUUUAAUUUACCCUUCCUUUGUACCUAAUGGGUAACUUCAGUAAGAGAGAUGUAAAUCUGGAGUUUGAUGGAAUUGUACCUGAUUUAGGGAGGCAGUGUGGCCUAGUAAAUAGCGCACUACCUCUAGGACUUAAAACAUCUGGGUUCUAGGCUUGGCUUGGCUGGUGACCUCGGGCAAUUCACUUCAACUCUCUGUGCCUCAGUUUUCUUGUCUGCAAAAUGAGGAUAAUGAUAUUUUGUUUCUAUGGAUGAAAAGGUAGAUAUUAUUAUGUAUAUUGAAAUUGGCCCAAUAUCUACACGUGCAUGGAGUUGAAUGUUCUCAGAAAAUGCUUGCUUUUUCUGUGGUCCCUACUGUGUAACUACUCUCACUUUCUUCAGUGCUGUGUUAGAGUUGCAUGCACCUGUGGCAUUGUCUUGCCUUCAGUUAUGUGUAAAGUGGAGUAUAACAAUAGUCCUGUUUGCUGCACGGUGCCUACAGUGACCUGUACCGUCUUUUCCUCUACUGUACAAUGCACUACCAAGGCCUCUCCAGAUGUUAGAUUUUACCUUUUUCCUGAAUAAAUCCAUCAGUGUUUUU